UAGGGAAUCUUCCGCAAUGGACGCAAGUCUGACGGAGCAACGCCGCGUGAGUGAAGAAGGAUCUCGGUUCGUAAAACUCUGUUGUUAGAGAAGAACAGCGCAUAGAGUAACUGUUAUGCGUGUGACGGUAUCUAACCAGAAAGCCACGGCUAACUACGUGUCAGCAGCCGCGGUACUACGUAGGUGGCAAGCGUUGUCCGGAUUUAUUGGGCGUAAAGCGAGCGCAGGCGGUCAAUUAAGUCUGAUGUGAAAGCCCCCGGCAAAACCGGAAAGGGUCAUUGGAAACUGUUUGACUUGAGUGCAGGAGAGGAGAGUGAAUUUCCAUGUGUAGCGGUAAGAUGCAUAGAUAUAUAAGGUAACACCAGUGGCAAGGGCGACUCUCGGGUCUGUAACUGACGCUGAGGCUCGAAAGCGUGGAUAGCAAACAAG
rnacentral:rRNA from 1 species